UAGCAUAUCAAUAAGCGGAGGAAAAGAACCAACAGGGAUUGCCUCAGUAACGGCGAGUGAAGCGGCAAGAGCUCAAAUUUGAAAUCUGGCUCCUUCGGGGUCCGAGUUGUAAUUUGUAGAGGAUGCUUCGGGUGCGGCCCCCGUCUAAGUGCUCUGGAACGGGCCAUCGGAGAGGGUGAAAAUCCCGUCUGGGAUGGGGUGUCCGCGUCCAUGUGAAGCUCCUUCGACGAGUCGAGUUGUUUGGGAAUGCAGCUCUAAAUGGGUGGUAAAUUUCAUCUAAAGCUAAAUACUGGCCGGAGACCGAUAGCGCACAAGUAGAGUGAUCGAAAGAUGAAAAGCACUUUGAAAAGAGAGUUAAACAGCACGUGAAAUUGUUGAAAGGGAAGCGCUUGCGACCAGACUCGCUUCCGGGGUUCAGCCGGCUUUCGGGCCGGUGUACUUCCCCGGGGGCGGGCCAGCGUCGGUUUGGGCGGCCGGUCAAAGGCCCCUGGAAUGUAACGCCUCUCGGGGCGCCUUAUAGUCAGGGGUGUCAUGCGGCCAGCCUGGACCGAGGAACGCGCUUCGGCACGGACGCUGGCAUAAUGGUCGUAAACGACCCGUCUUGAAACACGGACCAAGGAGUCUAACAUCUACGCGAGUGUUCGGGUGUCAAACCCGUGCGCGCAGUGAAAGCGAACGGAGGUGGGAGCCCCCUCGAGGGGCGCACCAUCGACCGAUCCUGAUGUCUUCGGAUGGAUUUGAGUAAGAGCGUAGCUGUGGGGACCCGAAAGAUGGUGAACUAUGCCUGAAUAGGGCGAAGCCAGAGGAAACUCUGGUGGAGGCUCGCAGCGGUUCUGACGUGCAAAUCGAUCGUCAAAUUUGGGUAUAGGGGCGAAAGACUAAUCGAA
rnacentral:rRNA from 1 species